AAGAUCCGUCAAAAUAGUCCGUACAUAUUUCGUGUCGAUCCGGUAUAUAUUUUAGACUCAUGUUGUGGAAAGCUUCAACAUUGCCAAAUAAAUGAAGUUCGGAAUUAUAAUUAUGUCUUUUACUCGUUUAAAUCUAUUAGUUUAAAUUUCAGUUUUGUUUCAGUUGAUUAAUAUAGUAGCUUACAUUUGAUGUGAGAACUGUUAGUUAAUCAUCCCUUUGAAAUUCGCAUAAGCUUUGUAAUAAUGUUAUUUAUUUCAGAAUUUCAUUAAGUAUAGCUAUAUUCAAAUUAUAAGAUAGGGAACAUGGCAGAAAGCUAGCCAUUAAUUAAAUCUUAUGA